rnacentral:lncRNA from 1 species
UAGGGUAAGUUGAAACAUUUAUUUUUUAUGAUGUUUUUUUUGUGAAUUUUAUUAUUAAUCGAUAUUUUUAAUAUAAGAUUGUCUCAAGUUAUUGUAUUUUUUUAUUGUGAGAGAUUAUAAUAGAGUUAGUCGUUUUAGCACUUGUAUUGAGACCCUCUAAAUUUUUUCGUGGCUUCAUCGCUGAAUUCACCUACCCACGCCUUGC